rnacentral:lncRNA from 1 species
GUUUGUUUGAGGAAAAAGUUCCAAAUAUCCACUAGCAUAGAAUUUUAAACUAUUUUUAUUUUAAAGUUAUGGCAUAACAUAUAACAUAAAAAUAUUUUAUAUACGUUUGAAAAAUCUAUACCGUUCUUUUUUAUCAUCAAAGUUUCUCAAUGGCCAGUAGAAGCAAAAAGACAACACCACCUCUGAUCUACGGGACAUAAUGUUCCCAGGAAAAAAAUCUUCAAGUGGGUGUGAGGGUGUUUCUAAUUCAAAAUAUGUAGAUUUCUCCGCAUGGAAGAAGUAGUAAAGAUUUUCUUAACAUGCUCCUGUGUUCAUGCUUGGAGACAAGAAUAAGAUGGUUUAGAAGCUUUACCCUUUCUUGGAACAAGUAGAAUCCCGGUCUGAGACCUCUCAGGAAUUUCAGAGCUUAGCAGUCUGGCCUGGAGGUUUUUCAGCCUUUUAGUAUAAUA